CCAAUAGCGUAUAUUAAAGUUGUUGCAGUUAAAAAGCUCGUAGUUGAAUUUCAGGCCUGGCUGGGCGGUCCGCCUUUUGGGUGAGUACUGCCUGUGGUCGGGUCCUACCUUCUGGCGAAGCGUCAUGGCCUUAACCGGCCGUGGCGGGGAACCAGGACUUUUACUGUGAAAAAAUUAGAGUGUUCAAAGCAGGCAUUCGCUUGAAUACAUUAGCAUGGAAUAAUGGAAUAGGACAGUGGUUCUAUUUGUUUGUUUCUAGGACCGUUGUAAUGAUUAAUAGGGAUAGUUGGGGGAAUUAGUAUUAAAUUGUCAGAGGUGAAAUUCUUGGAUUUAUGGAAGACUAACUACGGCGAAAGCAUUUGCCAAGGAUGUUUUCAUUAAUCAAGAACGAAAGUUAGGGGAUCGAAGACGAUCAGAUACCGUCGUAGUCUUAACCAUAAACUAUGCCGACUAGGGAUCGGAUGAUGUUGAUUUUUUAAUGACUCAUUCGGCGCCUUACG
rnacentral:rRNA from 1 species